CCGGAGUGGACGAACCUCUGGUGUUCGGGUUGUGUCGCCAGACGCAUUGCCCGGUAGCUAAGUUCGGAAUUGAUAAGCGCUGAAAGCAUCUAAGCGCGAAGCGAGCCCUGAGAUGAGUCUUCCCUGAUACUUUAAGUAUCCUAAAGGGUUGUUCGAGACUAGAACGUUGAUAGGCAGGGUGUGUAAGCGUUGUGAGGCGUUGAGCUAACCUGUACUAAUUGCCCGUGAGGCUUAACCAU
rnacentral:rRNA from 1 species